ensembl:lncRNA novel transcript
UCCUGAUACUGUGUUUACUCUUCUGCCUGAAUAGUUCCACGCAGAAUCACACCAUCAUGUUUUAGGUUCCAUCAAAAAUGAAUGAGGAGAGGCCAGGUGCAGUGGCUCAUGCCAGUAAUCCCAGCACGUUAGGAGGCUGAGGUAGGAGAAUUGCUUGAGCCCAGGAGGCAAAGGUUGCAGUGAGCUGAGAAUCAGGCCCCUGCACUCCAGCCUGGGUGACACAGUGAGACACUGCCUCAAACAAUGAGGAGAGUAAAUGGUUACAUGCAUGCUAUUGUUAUAUGUACAUGCCCUUAUGUUAUCCCAUAAGGGAUAAUGCAACAGGAUCUGUUCAUUAUUGAACAGAAUGAAUAUUAAGCGUAU